rnacentral:rRNA from 1 species
AAGGCUUCAGCACGACCCAGUCAGAACUAUAAGUCUCAAAGCCCCGACGAGUAGGGUGGCGUGCCGGUGCGCGUUGAAGGCCAAGACGUGAGUCAGGCUGGAGCCGCCGGUAGUGCAGAUCUUGGUGGUAGUAGCAAGUACUCUGGUGAACCAACCUGGAGCUGUGAGGUCUGGAUCAGGGUUCCAUGUCAACAGUGAUUGAACAUGGGUGAGUCGAUCCUAAGCCAACUGUGAAAGCAGUGACAUCCCGACAAAGGGGCAUAUUACUUGCACCCCCAAGCAUUGCAAUGUGAAGCUCUCAAGUAUAUACAUCUCUCUCUCUCGCGAGCGCAUACACGGGGCCUCGCAAAGCAUCUGGUUACGGAAAGGAAAUGAUAAAAUGCACACACAUACAAUGAUCAAUAAAAAUGUGAGUGUGUGUGUGUGCGUAUAAGCUUGUCUGUCUGGUUACGCUCAUAUGAAUAUAUAUGCAUUGAUAUGCUGUCUGUCAAAGGUAAAGAGAGAGAGAGAGAGAGAGAGAGUGGGUGAGCGCGAGUGUUUUCCCUGCGUUGGUUCUAUGUCUGGCGAAAGGGAAUGGGGACUUUGUUCCUUGACCGGUCCCGGCACCCUCGAUUGGCUUUGCCAAUUAAUGGUCCAUGCAAAUGGAACCAGGCCACAGCCGCCGGCAGUCGCCCGAGGAAGAGUUUUCUUUUCUGCUUAACGCGCGAGGUCAUCCCUGGAAACAGUUCGGCUUGCGAAAGGGUGCCCCGUUGCGGCAGAGCGCCACGACUGUCGUGCGCGUCUCGGUGUUCCUGCCGGUCCGUGAAGACGUGGUCGAGGGGAUUGCUCUUGUAUCAACGAAACGCCCGACGAGUUCGGGACGGACCGUACCCUAUAUCCGCAUCUGGUCUCCAAGGUUCGUAGCCUCUGCAGAGUCUGACACAUGUAGGUAAGGGAAGUCGGCAAACUCGAUCCGUAACUUCGGAAAAAGGAUUGGCUCUGAGGGCCGAGCUGGGCCGGGCCUUGCCUGCAAAGCAGUACCUAUAGUGACCGGAGUUUCAGGAGUGCGAGGGGCUCUAGUAGCUGCUUGUGCGUUCGCGUGUGGGCACGAACGAGUCCACCGCUCCGCUCCAACUACGAACGGCUGUGACGGCAAGGGCUCUGGGCGGGAGCGAUCGAUCCGUUGGCCUCCAGCGCGUCUGGUUGGCGGCGGUGCUCCCUCUGUCCCAUACGGCUCCAGCGGCUAGCGGCUAACUCAGAACUGUCAUGGACCAAGGGAAUCCGACUGUCUAAUUAAAACAAAGCGUCGUGACGGCCCCUGUUGGGUGUUGACGCGACGUGAUUUC